UACGUAGGGGGCAAGCGUUGUCCGGAUUUAUUGGGCGUAAAGAGCGUGUAGGCGGCCAGACAGGUCCGUUGUGAAAACUCGAGGCUCAACCUCGAGAUGUCGAUGGAAACCGUCUGGCUAGAGUCCGGAAGAGGAGUGUGGAAUUCCUGGUGUAGCGGUGAAAUGCGUAGAUAUUCGCAAGAACACCAGUGGCGAAGGCGGCUCACUGGCCCGGUACUGACGCUGAGGUGCGAAAGCGUGGGGAGCAAACAGG
rnacentral:rRNA from 1 species